rnacentral:tRNA from 3 species
GGGCCCGUAGCUCAGCCUGGCAGAGCGGCCGGCUCAUAACCGGUAGGUCGUGGGUUCGAAUCCCACCGGGCCCA